rnacentral:rRNA from 1 species
UACAGAGGUCCCAAGCGUUGUUCGGAUUCACUGGGCGUAAAGGGUGCGUAGGCGGCGCGGUAAGUCGGGUGUGAAAUCUCGGAGCUUAACUCCGAAACUGCAUUCGAUACUGCGGUGCUUGAGGACUGGAGAGGAGACUGGAAUUCAUGGUGUAGCAGUGAAAUGCGUAGAGAUCAUGAGGAAGACCAGUGGCGAAGGCGGGUCUCUGGACAGUUCCUGACACUGAGGCACGAAGGCCAGGGGAGCGAACGGG